AGGAGAAGCUUUAUAGACAUCAAAGCAAUCAGCAACUCUUGGACUUCCCAUCUUAGGCACUUCUUCUCCAACUUCAUUGCAUUGAUUCCAUGCUUCUAUAGCAACUCUUAGACCAUCUCUUCUCAUCCCCGAAUCGCCAACAGCCGAUAUGUAACCAUUUUCAUGAUCAAGAUUUACACAAGAAACUCUAUAAAAUGACACUAUGAUUGAAAGAAGAGAAAGAACAAGUAACCAAGAAGAACAAG
rnacentral:misc_RNA from 1 species